AACGAACGCUGGCGGCGUGCUUAACACAUGCAAGUCGAACGCGAACGGGUUCUUCGGGACCUUAGUAGAGUGGCGCACGGGUGAGUAACGCGUAAGUUAUCUACCUCGGCAUCUGGAAUAACUCACCGAAAGGUGUGCUAAUACCGGAUACGUUGAGUAAUCAAGAAAGGUGGCCUCUGAAUAUGCUACCGUGCUGAGAUGAGCUUGCGUACCAUUAGCUAGUUGGUGGGGUAAUGGCCUACCAAGGCGACGAUGGUUAGCGGGUCUGAGAGGAUGAUCCGCCACACUGGAACUGGAACACGGACCAGACUCCUACGGGAGGCAGCAGUGAGGAAUAUUGCGCAAUGGGGGCAACCCUGACGCAGCGACGCCGCGUGGAUGAUGAAGGCCUUCGGGUCGUAAAAUCCUGUCAGGUGGAAAGAAAUGUAUAUGUGCUAAUACCAUGUAUACUUGACGGUACCACCGAAGGAAGCACCGGCUAACUCCGUGCCAGCAGCCGCGGUAAGAC
rnacentral:rRNA from 1 species